rnacentral:lncRNA from 10 species
AAAUGUUGGUGGCAGCAGGCCUUAUUUGGCUAGACCUUGGAGCCCUGAAGCCUACACAUGGACACACAGCUGCUUCAGCACUGAAGGGGUCAAGAUCACUAACAGUGGUGAAGAGGCGAGUGCUGGGUGCCUCUAGUCAACCAUGUUGAUGACGUCCUUUCUAGAAAACACCCUGAUACCUUGUGCCUGUGCUUCCAAGGUGGCUGACGCUGUGCCUGUGCUUCCGAGGUGGCUGACUUCUAACUGAGUGCAGUGGAGACCCCGUGGUGCUUUACAGAACAGAUGGCAGUGCUGCCCAAGCUCAGAACACAGCUGGACGGAUCCCCAUUUUUAAAAUGUUGCUUUUAAAGUUCCUUGGUCUAUUUUAAGUCUUAGACAAUAGAGCACUAAUUUGUGUCCACAGCUAGGGAAAAAGCACCCCAAAUACUCAUGUUAUGUCACUUUCAGUACCACAAUUCAAAUAGUGAAAGACGAUGCUUCCAUGUACCACGUAUAGGUCUCUACUAGUGAUUUUUCUCUCAUUUCAACCUAGCUUCACAUAUUUUUAUGGUAUAGCUAACUCAACAUUGAUUCUAUACAAAAUAUAUUAUCUAAGAUAGUCUUUAAAAAUAUUUGAAUUCCACUGGGAUUUGUUUAAACCCCUACACAAAUAAUUACCUCUUACUAAAAACACUGAGUUUGGCAAGUGAAAUUUUGUAAUAAGGUGAAGAUUCAAUAAAAUCUUGUCUCAAACUAAUG